AGAGCGGCGGCCGGAGGGCGAAGCGGUACCGCCGGGGCUCCGCUGGGCUCCCCGCCACCCGGAGCCGCCCGCCCGCCCCCGGGAGCGGCCAUUAGCGCUCUGAUAGCAGUUCUUACCCGCGCUCCGGGCUGCCCGGAAUUGCCCGUUCGAUUUCCGGCAAUCCGUCUCCAGGGUACUGCGGUCCUCCGGGACGCCGAAGUGCCUGUCAUUCCUCCGAGCUCCAUCCCUAUCGUACCGCGGUCCUCCAGCACGCCGAAAGCGACUGUUGGUCUUCUAGAAACCCUGUGCUGGUAGCACUCUUCCGAAAGUACACAAAACGGCUGACGAUUAACCAAAAAAAAUUACCUGAAGCUCACCAAAAGAAUGCGACCGCUGUGGAAAUGUCUUCACAACGACAACCCGACAUCACUUCAACGCGAGAGGUCACCAUAUUUUCUUGGAAAUCCUGAUUUUACUGAAGAUGGAGCCGUGUUGUUUUGGUUUUUUUUCCCCAUCGGUUUUGCUGUAUACUGUAUGCAGAGGGAGAAGGUGUGCAAGGUGAUGUACGACAGCCGAGCGGAGCACCGUAAGAAAGUGGGUUGGUGUGUGGUACCGGGCGGAAGAUGUGACCGCUGGCUCUACGACUAAUUAUGGUAUUUUAUUUUUUCAAUUUGGAGCUUCAAAGCAACGAGGGGUGUGGGAUAUGGGUACCGAGGCUGACUCCCUCAAGGUGAGCGGUGAUUGGUGGGUUGAAAUAACAGUUAUAUUUCAGGUGUUGCGUUGCUGGUGGAGUUGUAAGCAACCCACGUUGUUUGGGUUUUACAAGUGGUGUGAAAGUCUCCAGGUGGCAACCCAAAUUAAUGGAGGAUGGGCAGGCAAGCUGUGUCGGUCAAGGGGCAGGAGGUGGGCAUCAGUGCGUACAGGCUACGGAUAUGAGCAGUAUCUCAGCGUGUUCCGUUUAGCUUGGGUUUUCGCAGGUGCCACACGCAGGCUCAGAGGGGUGACACUGUCCACUGACGAGCGGUUUGAGCUGGUGAGGUGGUUGUUGGCUGCAUUGGUGUCUAAUAGCGAAGUGUUAGGUGGCAGCUCGGCGAAGUGUUUCUCUUUUGUUUUUACGGGUGCUAUGUGGGCUGCCUUUGGAACCGGAUGAGCAUUUGAGGUGAGACGGGUAGUAGAGAGGAGGAGCAUGGAGCUGGUGAUUUCUUGUAUAUGCCAUGGCAAUUUUGUGUGUCUUGGUCUCUUAGGCACCACAAACAGUGACUGACUCAGCAUCUGACCCUGGAAUCUGUGCAGAGCAGGCAAGCAGACCGUGGUGGUGUAUCUGAGGUGGGGGAUGUUGCAGGGAAGGUCCGUGAUGACUGAUGGGAUGCUGACUAACGGUACUGCUGUGUGUGCGUGUGGGAGUUUUUGCAGAUGAUGAAGAGGAACCUGGUGACUGCAGGAUUAAUCUACUUGGCUGAUUGUGGGUUUUUUUUCUUGUUGAGGAUGGGUUCGGACCCAGCCCUCUGAAAGCUAA